rnacentral:rRNA from 1 species
GAGAAGUUUUCGGAUGGAUCUCGGGAUAGUCCAGUGGCGGACGGGUGAGUAACACGUGAGCAACCUACCUUCGCGAGGGGAAUAACGGCUGGAAACGGUCGCUAAUACCGCAUAACAUACUGGAGGGACAUCCCUUUGGUAUCAAAGAUUAUAUCGCUCGGAGAUGGGCUCGCGUCCGAUUAGGUAGUUGGUGAGGUAACGGCUCACCAAGGCGACGAUCGGUAGCCGGACUGAGAGGUCGAACGGCCACAUUGGGACUGAGACACGGCCCAGACUCCUACGGGAGGCAGCAGUGGGGGAUAUUGCACAAUGGGGGAAACCCUGAUGCAGCGACGCCGCGUGUGGGAAGACGGUCCUCUGGAUUGUAAACCACUGUCCCCAGGGACGAAGAUGACGGUACCUGGGGAGGAAGCUCCGGCUAACUACGUGCCAGCAGCCGCGGUAAUACGUAGGGAGCGAGCGUUGUCCGGAAUUACUGGGUGUAAAGGGAGCGUAGGCGGGACUGCAAGUUGGGUGUCAAAUCUACCGGCUCAACCGGUAGCCGCACUCAAAACUGCAGUUCUUGAGUGAAGUAGAGGCAGGCGGAAUUCCUAGUGUAGCGGUGAAAUGCGUAGAUAUUAGGAGGAACACCAGUGGCGAAGGCGGCCUGCUGGGCUUUUACUGACGCUGAGGCUCGAAAGUGUGGGGAGCAAACAGGAUUAGAUACCCUGGUAGUCCACACCGUAAACGAUGAUCACUAGGUGUGGGGGGUCUGACCCCUUCCGUGCCGGAGUUAACACAAUAAGUG